AAAAGCACCAUUUCCUCUCCUCUCCUCUUCUUUCAUCUCAUGGCUGCUCCCGUUCUCAAGUUGGCCGCCGUCGUGCUCCUGGCCGCCCUCUGCGCUGCCGCACUGGCCCCAGUGGCGUCGGGGCAGCAGAUGGAUGCGCUAGCGGCAUGCAUCGAGGGCUGCGAGUGUGUGCCCUGCCCGGAAGGACAGGUCUGCAUCACUGUGUGCACGCCCCUGCCGUCCUGCGAGGCCAGAUGCCGCUGCACCUUUUCCGGCACGGGCUGCUAGGCCGGCUGCGGCCCUGGCAACGCCGCCUGCGCGUGCCACGGCACCGUCCGCCAGGAAGCCUGGCACCGCAAGCGCUGAAGCCAGCAGGCAGCAGCUAGCUCAUACGUUCUACAGUGUAUUGUAAGCCCUGUCUGUCUGUCCAUGCAUGUACUGCAUGUUCGUGUGUUUGUGUGGUAAUAAAGUUUCAACGGUCGAUCCGUUGGGGUUGUUGGUCAGUUUCUCAUCGAAAUGUUCAAGCCUUACAGUGGCCUAUUGGUUAAUUAAUUGGGAGCAACUAGCUCAGUCGUUGGCUACCGUGAGCCAAAAAAAAAACAAUUAGAAAUGUUAUCUUGGUUUCAGUGUAUACAAACUUCAAAAUGUUUGGUCAAAUAUAUUAGAAACUAACAACCUAUAUAAUACCGAAUAAAUACAAUAUAAAAUAUAUUUUAUGCGGACCUAAAUACUUAUUUGUAGUGUCAAUAUUCAUAUUUUAUAAACUUGACCACAGUAAACUAAGGUUGACUUAGUUCAAAACUAAGAGAAUCAGGGAGAGCCUCCUAGUACAAUGGUUAGUGCGUUAUUUUAUCUUUUAGAUAAUGUGAAUAUGAUGUUAUUUUACCAGUUAAACAUUUUUAAAAUGCAAUUUAGCAUGCAAUAUUAAUUUAAUAUUGCACGAUCCGUCUUUGUUUUGUACGAGUGUAUAUCCCAAGCAGAAAUCAAAACCUUAGCAAAACAACAUAGGCACAAAAGAAACCAUCUAUAACCUCGCAUCAACACCUCGAAAAAACCUCGCGAGGAGAAAAUAAAC
rnacentral:rRNA from 1 species